UGUCAGGUGGCCCUGAAACACGUGAGUGUGCUGGGUUUCAUUUUCUCAGGAUUCCAGGCUCCAGUUUGUUGGCAGAGCCACAGUCCUAAGCAGACUGGUCCUGAGGGAGGCAGAUCCUAACUCAUCAUCUCAGAAGGCUUAGGUUUGACCUCAGAGGCCAGGGCUGCUGUGUUCAGAGGCACGGAGGGGUAAACAUAUGAAGGGCAAAGGAAGAAGAUCAAAUGCAGCUUUCUCUGCAGAGCCGGUGAACGGGAUUUCAGGUAGCUGGAGACCACACUUGCACGAUGGAACACGCCUCUCUCUAAGGGCCUUGGUGAUUUCUUAGGAAGCUUUGUGUUCUCAGAACCAAGCAGAACUCAAGUCCUGAUGCCCGCUCUUUCAGAUCUCCUGCCCACCACAGCUGAGCCUCAGACCUCCACAAAGCCUACCUGGAUCAACUCUUCCUUAUCUGCCCCCACCCAAAACCACCAUUCUACUUUCUGUUUCUAUGAUGAAGAGCCCAGGACGGUCCGGUCUGAGAAAGAAGAACAAGAAGAGCUCAGCCCAAACAUCAAAAUCAGAGGUUCAGUGGAAGGAAUUCAAUCAUCAAGCAGUAAGAAGGAGUAAAGCAAUGGAUGUAGAAGCAGAGGCAGUUUUCAGAAUUGAGUAGAUGAGUUGGAUGGUCUGGCCUUGGGUAGUGAGUGCCUGGAAUGUGGGUGUGCUCACUAAAGCAGAAUAUGAACUGUAGGUCACUAUCAGAUAUCAGAUAAGACUUCCAUCUAUGAUUGGUGAGCAAAUGACUAUGACUAAAGUAGAUGGAAAGCAGGUCAGAGGGUGAAGACUGGGGAUUACAAAGGGUAUUUGCCACUAUCAGGAUUUGUUGCUGACUUGAGAAGUGGGCAGAUCUGUGAUAAAACCCCCUGUGAUAGUUCACCAGGAGUGGAGUGGUUGAGUAAGUCCUUGGGGUAUUGCAAUCUGGGCACAGAAACCAUAAGCAUUAUGUAUCAAAGGGCACCAUGCCAAUGAUGACCUAAUAGCAUUGGGAAAGUAGACUGAGAGAGGUCAAGAACUUAGAUGAUGGUGUCCCCAAGGCAUCAAACUGACCAGUGUGAAGGACCAGACACCACUUCUACUGUGUAUGCUGGGGUGGAAGGAAGUAUGAAAAAAGUAGAAAGAGCAAUAGAUUUUGAAGUCAGACAAAUCUAACUUCAAAAUGUGUUGCCUUUUACAUAUGGGUGACCUUAAACCACGUAAAUAUCAAUCGUCUCGUGUAUACUCCAAAUUAGAGCAAUAUCUGCUCUGGAAUUAAGGGUAAAUUAUGCAAUAUACUAGCACAAUUCCUGGCCUACAUGCAGUCAAUAAGUGAUUGCAGUGAUCAUAACAAUUUGUCUCCUAGCUCAGAGCAGCCUGCAAAGUAGUCUGUGGUCCCCUCUGUUAUUCCAAACUGCAGGAUAGGAGGUUUUUUGUUGUUGCUGUUUUUCCAGAUAUUUUUGAUAUUUAGUUCAUAAUGUAUGUGAUGAACUCAAAGACGGAGGUGGGGGUUGGGGCCGAGGGAGAAGGCAGCCAGUCAGCUAGGCAGCCCAGCAGGCCAAUAGGUUCAUCUUUGUUUUGUUUUAAUGGCACAGAUCCAAGUCAUUAGAUUUUUUGUCACACAGAGUCUGGUACUUUGAGAUGACUUAUCCAUACUGUGAAUGUGUGUUUAAGUAUUGUUAAAAUCUAUUUUAUCAUUAUUGUAUGUUCCCUUACAAGUAAAAACAACAACAGGCUCUGGGGUUGUAGCUCAGCAGAAGAGUGCUCACCCAGCACAUGCAAGGCCCUGCGUUCGAUCCUCAGCACCACAUAAAAAUGAACAAAUAAGGGCUGGGGUUGUGGCUCAGGGGUAGAGCGCUCGCCUUGCAUGUGCCAAACCCCGGGUUCGAUCCUAAGCACAUAAUAAACAAGUGAAAUAAAGGUGUUGUGAACAACUACAACUAAAAAAUAAAUAAAUAAAUAAAAUAAAGGUAUUGUGUCCAUGUACAACUAAAAUAAACAAACAAGUAAACAACAACAAAACCAACCAAACCUCAGGUGUGACUUGAGGCAGUGGGUCCAAAAUUGUUAGUAAGAUCUGGCUGCUUCUUUCUCAUCAUUGUUUGUGCCCCAUUCCUCUGAGUUAGCUCCAUUCUUGAGCAGAUUCCGUUUACAGGCAAGAGAUGGUUACAACAGCACCAGUCUUUCAUCCUCUCACAUUUAAACCUAGUGUUGAAAAGAGAACACUGCUUUCCCAGAAAUGUCAUCCAAAGACUCACUGGUUUUGACUGAAUCAAGUGCACAACACUGAACCAAUCCUAAUCAUAGGAAAAAUAUUUCUGUUUGACUGAGGCUGGACUAGGUACUUCACAAGCUCCUGGAGUGAAGAAUAGAGAAGAUGUCAGGUGUCCAGGGCAGAAGUACGGACCAUGAGAGAAGAGUAAAUUCCUUACAUAGCUCAAAUCAGCAACCACCCAAUUCCUCGCUACUUCUGCUACUGUAACUUUUGCAGAUUUAAGGUGCUGAACAGUUUAGCUUAAAAUACAAUAGGGUAUUUUGCCUUAUGUUUUAUGUACCCAACAAGCCCAUCAUAGCUUUUCAGAACAAAAGGAAUUAGUGUAAAAGUGAGUGAGAUCUUUAUUCCCAGGAACCCAAGCCUUCAGAACCAUGUCCCACUCCUGGUAGAUUCUAACAGAGAUCCUAAAGCAAUUCAAGAUAGCUAACAUGAGCAGAGACCAGCUUAUUUUAGAAGUAGAGGGUAAAAUAUCAGCUGUGAGGUAU